UGGAAAAUGGAAAUCCCAUUGAAAGGAAGAACUGGUUUACUGAUAUUGAGCCACUGUUCAAACACCUCAGUUAUGAGAAUGUUCCUCCUUAGCUCAAGGUUCUCCUCACCGGUUUUAGAUGUUAUCCAUAAUCUAACGAUAUUUCUUAUUGAAGAAUUAUGCAAUAAGAGCUGAUUAUUUGUGUGCGGUGGCUUCUCUCAAGAAUACGAUUCAGUGUAUUCUACAAUCGUCGUCUAUCAUCUCCCUCACUUCACCCUCUCCACAAAUCGUAUUCUCAACUGAUGAUUUAGGGACAUUAUUGAGGUAAAGAAACGUCAACACUUUGCUUUUAAGAGAAGUUCAGUAAUCGGAGGGAUGUUACUUUCAAAAAGGGAGGAAGAUCAAGAUGGAGAUGAGCGCGAAGGAAGCCUUUGAGAGGUCGAUGAGGACUUUGUCGGAGUGGAUAAGCCAGGAAGUGAAUCGAAAUAUGUAAUGAUCUUAGAUACUUGAUACUUGGUUCAUUCGGAUGAUAAUGUACGAAUAUUUUGGAUAAUAUAUAAUAUUGUUAUUGUUGAUUUUA